UAUGUGAUCGUCUCUCGCAUAUCAAUAAGCGGAGGAAAAGAAACUAACAAGGAUUCCCCUAGUAACGGCGAGUGAAGCGGGAAGAGCUCAAAUUUGAAAUCUUAAAGGGUUUCCCUUUACGAAUUGUAGUUUAAAGAAGUGUUUUCUGUUGAGGUUUUGGUAAAGAGUUCUUUGGAAUAGGACAUCAUAGAGGGUGAGAAUCCCGUAUUUGACCUUUACUUUCAACUUUGUGAUACACUUUCAAAGAGUCGGAUUGUUUGGGAAUGCAGGUCCAAAAUGGGUGGUAAAUUUCAUCUAAAGCUAAAUAUUGGCGAGAGACCGAUAGCGAACAAGUACCGUGAGGGAAAGAUGAAAAGAACUUUGAAAAGAGAGUUAAACAGGUACGUGAAAUUGUCAAAAGGGAAGCGUUUGACACCAGUGUUGUUUUUCUGAAAAUCAAUUAAAGAACUGUUUAUGCUAAGUUGUUUAGACUUUAUCAGCUAACUGUUUAGUUUUGAGCUUUUCUUUAAUGCACUUUUCAGUUAACAAGUCAACAUCAAUUUCUUUUGCUGUAAAAAAGCUUGAGGAAGGUGGCUUGAGAUUCGUCUUAAGUGUUUAUAGCCUCUUGCCUAUGUAGUCGGAGAGAUUGAGGUCUGCAGCGUAGAUCCUUCGGGGCUAAAUGCAUUUGUGCUAAGUUAUAGCAUUUUAUAGACAACUUGUUGACUAUGAUUUGUCUUGUAGCUUACUCGCUUAUGUUAUUUUACCUACGCUUAGGAUGUUGAGUAGCGACAUACGCAC
rnacentral:rRNA from 1 species